rnacentral:rRNA from 1 species
UACGAAGGGGGCUAGCGUUGCUCGGAAUCACUGGGCGUAAAGGGUGCGUAGGCGGGUCUUUAAGUCAGGGGUGAAAUCCUGGAGCUCAACUCCAGAACUGCCUUUGAUACUGAAGAUCUUGAGUUCGGGAGAGGUGAGUGGAACUGCGAGUGUAGAGGUGAAAUUCGUAGAUAUUCGCAAGAACACCAGUGGCGAAGGCGGCUCACUGGCCCGAUACUGACGCUGAGGCACGAUAGCGUGGGGAUCAAACAGG